UUUCCAAAGUGGGGGAAGUAACUCGCAGAAAUGCGAGCUAAUACCGCAUGUGGUUGCGGAGUGGCAUCACUUUGCACCUAAAGAUUUAUCGCUUGGAGACGGCCUCGCGGCCUAUUAGCUAGUUGGUGGGGUAACGGCCUACCAAGGCGAUGAUGGGUAGCUGGUCUGAGAGGACGAUCAGCCACACUGGGACUGAGACACGGCCCAG
rnacentral:rRNA from 1 species